GCUUUUGAAGGAUAGAAGCAUAUCCAUUGGUCUUAGGAACCAAAAACCCUUGGUGCAAAUCCAAGCAAAAGCU
rnacentral:tRNA from 1 species